GGACCCAUAGUGUAGCCUGGGUAUCACUCUAGCCUCCGGAGCUGGAAACCCGUGUUCGAAUCGCGGUGGGUCCGCCA
rnacentral:tRNA from 1 species